AACGAACGCUGGCGGCAUGCCUAACACAUGCAAGUCGAACGAUGGCUUCGGCCAUAGUGGCGCACGGGUGAGUAACGCGUGGAAACCUGCCUUUUGGUUUGGGAUAACUCCGGGAAACUGGAGCUAAUACCGGAUGAGCCCGAGCAAUCGGGGAAAGAUUUAUCGCCAAAAGAGGGGCCCGCGUCCGAUUAGGUAGUUGGUGGGGUAACGGCCUACCAUGCCUACGAUCGGUAGCUGGUCUGAGAGGAUGAUCAGCCACACUGGGACUGAGACACGGCCCAGACUCCUACGGGAGGCAGCAGUGGGGAAUAUUGGACAAUGGGCGCAAGCCUGAUCCAGCAAUGCCGCGUGGAUGAUGAAGGCCUUAGGGUUGUAAAGUCCUUUCGGCGGGGACGAUGAUGACGGUACCCGCAGAAGAAGCCCCGGGCUAACUUCGUGCCAGCAGCCGCGGUAAU
rnacentral:rRNA from 1 species